rnacentral:lncRNA from 1 species
GUUUAGGGCUGCACCCACGGCAUAUGGAGGUUCCCAGGCUAGGAGUCGAAUCAGAGCUACAGCUGCCAGCCUACGCCACAGCCACAGCAACGCAGGUUCCAAGCUUCGUCUGCAACCUACACCACAGCUCAGGGCAACGCUGGAUCCUUAACCCACUGAGCAAGGCCAGGGAUCAAACCCGCAACCUCAUGGUUCCUAGUUGGAUUCAUUUCCACUGUGCCAUGACAGGAACUCCAACCUUUUCUUUAAAAAACAUUUUUUUUGGCUUUGUUCACGGCAUGCAGAAGUUCCCAGGCUAGGGAUUGAAUCUGAACCAUAGCAGUGAUAACACUGAAUCCUUAAUCACUAGGCCACCAGGAAACUCCAAAAUCUUUUAUGCCUCUCAAGUUCCACAUAUAUAAGACGAAGGUAGUAAUGUCUUCUUCAAAUGUUGUUAUGAUAGAAUUAAAAUUAUUUCUUUCUCGCAUCAUUUUUAGAAAGGACCUGAGAAUUUUUAAAUCUCACAUCUUUAGCCUUGAGACAAAAAUGACAACUAUCAAAAAUUAAUAACUAAAAAACCGUUUUUUAAAUAUACCAACCAGAAACAUAGUACAAUUAUUCUGAUGAAUCAUAAAUGCCAGCCUGUUUCCUGGCAGUUCAACUAAAGAAGGAAAUUAUUAUAUAACUCUCAUUAUUUCGUUAAUUGAGAAGCGGAAACAAAUCAAUUCCUCGAAGCAAUUAAAAGAGAUGAUGUAUGUGAAAGCUUCUAGUAAAUAAGCAGAAAGAAGAUGUCAUCGUUUAGGUUUAAGGCAGAGGUGAGACAGGGCGGACCCCAAACUCCUCAGGGGGAUAGGACCCCAUGCAGAGAAAGCCGGCCACGCCUGCCCUCUUUCCUGGGUCUGCUUCUCUGAGACGUCCCUGCCUGCUGUGGACCAGAAGUGCAUUUCCAUCACGGCCUCUCGGGAGAAAGUUGGGUGUGUGAUGUUCCACUGACCAGAGGAAAAUGCCAGGUUGGUAGGCCAAAGUUCAUACGGUUUAGCCUAAGGGGAAGCCCAAAUGAAGGAGGGAAGAGCAGAGGUGAGGGGCAGGUGCGGAGGAAGUUUCAAGGCCCUCUGUGCGGUUCUGACAAGCAUGAAAGUCAAGGCUAGAGUGGCAUAACCAGUAGUGACCCUCACGGCUCCGAGCCUGGGGAGUCUGCAGGAGAAGGGACGGGCUUGGGGGACAGUUCACCACACCAGCCCCUCCACCCAGUCCCAGGGCUCCUGCACUCCCAGCGCCUGGCAGACAGCGUAGCCACAGGCUGACCCCUGGCCACUUCCAGGCCUGGCCCUGAAGAGCCGCCAUCACUGCCUGCUCAUCUUCUGCUGGGCUGGCUGCUGCACCCCAGCUCCCAAGGGCAGGGAAGCAGCUGUCCAGGGCAAAGCCUUGGUCCCCAACACCUAAGGGGCAGAGCCACCGAGCCCCUGAGAGGGCUUCCGUGAAGAAUGAAAGAACCCACCACAUCUCAGGACUCAGCUCUUAACACGGUUUGCAUAAGAGAAGAAUGGACGGGGAAAAGCAUGCUAUACAUCAUUUAAACAGACGCGGUUCUGGUCCUCAAACCUCAUAGCCACUGGGGACAUUUCAUUCAGGGCAGAUUCCCCUAUGCCCCACACCGAUCUCUUGAAUUUUCCCAGGAUAUUUUUCCCCUUCUUUAGUACAUGUUGAGUCUGGUCAACAGACUGAGUCAAGAGACAGGUGGACAGGAUGUGGCUAUGAUGCUGCCCCUGCCCAGGUCCUCACACUGGAUGCCCGGGACCCUCCUCUGCUCUACGGCUCAGCCCGGAUCUAGCUGGUUAACUGUUGGGUUCUGUUAACCCAAGAAUGCUGCAAGCUCAUCAGGGGCCAGGAUGAUAGCUUUCAGAUUUCUUUCUCAAGCAGGUGAUCAAACGCUCAAUCCACACUUUAGUUCCAUUUCAUUUGAGUAGUUAUUUUCCAUUCAACGAGGAGAAGUGGGAGGAAAGCGCUUAUCUGGCAAGCUAGGCCCUGGGGUUGGACUCGCAAAAAACCAUUCCAGGCACACACGUCAUUCAUGCUCAGAGCCAGUGGUGGAGGAAGGGGCUGGUCACUGCACUCUUUGACACAAACUCCAAAGCACAGGAAUCAGCUCUGGAGCUUAUUUAAAAUGUGGGUUCCUGGGCUUAACCCUUGAUAGCCUGACCUAGUAGUUCCAGGUGGGCCCCAGGAAUCUGCAUUUAUGACACACCUCCUGCCCCGGCCCCAAUUCCUAUGCAAGUGGUGAGACACCAUGGGCGUGUGGACAGGCCAGGCCAGGUCCAGGCUGUCCAGUGUUAACCACGGGCCUCAUGGCUGCCCGGCACACAGGAGGCCAGCUCUGCAGAGGGAGGAGACUCGGCUAUCCGACUCACUCUGAGCACCACCCCUCCUCCAAGAACGGGAUACCAGGUGACUCCUCCGUCCUUUGAAGGCCACCAGCUCACUGUCACACCUGAGCACCUAGGACGUGUCCCCCGGCUGCCUUGGGCCCAUCUGCUCCGGUUCUAAUUGAGGAGCCAGCUUCCUCUCUCAACGUGACCCGCACGUUCUGCCAAGGACCAUCUGUGCCCAGUCUGCCUCCUCUGAGCCAGUGAGCCGCCCGGGGCCUCCAGGGAGCGGGAGCCUGCCUUCGCCCCGCGGUGUCCCUGCCUAAGAACCGGGCUGUGUCUGGGCACAGCUCUGGGCCUCGGUCGGUGCCUCAGGAAGAGCAGUGGCAGCCAGCGUCUUCAUCCACGUCUGCAGAUGGUGAACAGAGAGCAAGUCUGCCUUGCCCAAGGUCACACAGCAGGUCAGCUGUGAAGCCAGGGAGGGCAGCCAAGCUCUCGCACCGGCUGUACUGGGAGCUGAGGCUGCUCAGAUUUGGGUUGUGGCCCCAUCGGAACAGAAACACCAAGCUGGGCUUUGUCUUCUUCGUUUACAAGACCUUUCGGGUGAGCCCCUUCAGGGGACUGCCCCUCCAGGGUACUGCCCUUCCACUGCCACGUGGUGAAGAGAAGAGAGGGGAAAGGCAAGAUCUUUCUCCUGAUGGAGCAAACCCUCGGGUCUCAGGAUGGGGUGGGCGGUGGCGCAUGUGACCAUCUGAAGACCUCGUCCUCAUUUCUCUCCUCCCCUCCCUGGACAGUCGGGCGGCUGACCAGGCCCACUGCCGCCCAGGCCCCACAUGAGGAGUGCAAGGUGCCGUCUGACUGCAUGUCCCCUUACCUCCUCCUUCGGGGUGGCUGUCAUUGGUAAAGUAGACUCAGGUGAUCAGGAGAAGCCCAGACCUGGGAAUCAACAGCUGCGGGUGAAGUCGUGCACCCUGUGCCAGGUCCCUGCUGCUUGGACAGGAAGAAGGGAGCGAUGGGGCCCCCGGACCCCACACCUCUGUUCCUGCACCAAGGGACAACCAAGAAACCAGGGUCACAGAUGGAGAUCACACCCAGAGCUGGAGGAUGGAAGUGGGGAGGGGGGGAAGGAGAGAGGAGGGAGGGAAGGAGGGAGAAAAGGAAGGUGGCAGGGGAGGAAGGACUCUGUAAGAAAGAAGCAUGGGGCUGCCUGCCCAGAGGUCCCACAGUGCUGAGCCUGAGCUGGACACACACAGAGCAGGUCCAGGAGAACGAGUAGGUCGUGCAUUUCAAGUAGGUGAGAGCAAACUGUAGGUUCCUGCAGGACCCCUCCAGGAACUGUUUUCAGGACCGUGUCAUCUGGCUCUGAACAAGGCACAGCCAAACUUAGGACUGUCCAGAUGAGGCCAGCCAGCCAGCCGAUACUCCAGGCUAAUCGUGGCAGGUUUAACCAUCUCAGGGAUGGAGCCCAAGACCCACCCCACCCUCUGGACUGCCUCCCGUUCAGCCCUCAGCCCUCUGAAGUUCACUCUCUCAAAGGCCUAUAAAUCAGGUAUAUGCGAGAUGAGGUUUCCUCAUCAUGUUUGAAGCUAAUAAACUGCUCUCGAUGAGAUGAAAAGAAAAGACCUUCGAUUGCAGGAGGAGGGGCACAUCUUAGACACCAGAAUGAACUUUCUGACCGCAAGCUCCAUUUAGCCAGGACACAGGCGACCCAGAGACAGGAGAGGCUACCGUGUAUUGAUGACCUACUUAGUGCAAAUGUGCAUUAUUUCACUGAAUUCCCAACGCCCUUGUCAGGCAAGCAUCGAGAUGAAGAAAGGGAGAAAUAAAAACAUUUCCAUAGCAGCCCUUCUCAAAACACAGAGGCCAUGGGCUUUGGUUCUGGAGAAUUCUAAAUAGCGCUCCAGGGGGAAGAAAGGGU